ensembl:lncRNA
GUGGGAGGAAAAAGUGUGCUUCUGGAGGCUGGUGGGGGUACAGGGUGGGGAUAAUGUUGACUCCACCCCAGGACUGGGUGCAGCAAAGGCGAAGCAGUACACACCUCUCUGGCUGGUGCUUUGCUGGAUGGGUGAUAUAUCUGAAGGUCAGUGAGGAUGGGAGUUGGGAGUGGAGUUAUCAGGUGAAGUCACUCGAGCUCAGAAAGGAGGAGUGAAUUACCUGUGGCUGCAGUACUUUGGACAGCCAGAAAUCUGUCUCCCAACAGUCAGGGAAAAAGAGGCCUUACUUACUCAAGGAGGAGCAGGCUGCCAGAGUGUGUGAGACCUGACUAGUGCCUUGCUGGCCUCAGCUCCGCCAUUGCAUGUUCAUCUGAACUAGGACCCAAGGGUACUUGGAGAAGGUGUUGGGUGCGGAUUUCUACAAACUGCCAAGGGCUACAGCAAUGAGAACUCUCUCAGCGGACAAGGGCCUACUUGGUGAAGGGUAAGGGUCUGCUUCUUUCCAAACUGUCAAGGGC